rnacentral:rRNA from 1 species
CCUACGGGGGGCAGCAGUGAGGAAUAUUGGUCAAUGGACGAGAGUCUGAACCAGCCAAGUAGCGUGAAGGAUGACUGCCCUAUGGGUUGUAAACUUCUUUUAUAUGGGAAUAAAAUGUUCCACGUGUGCCUUUUUGUAUGUACCAUAUGAAUAAGGAUCGGCUAACUCCGGGCCAGCAGCCGCGGUAAUACGGAGGAUCCGAGCGUUAUCCGGAUUUAUUGGGUUUAAAGGGAGCGUAGGUGGAUUGUUAAGUCAGUUGUGAAAGUUUGCGGCUCAACCGUAAAAUUGCAGUUGAUACUGGCAGUCUUGAGUACAGUAGAGGUGGGCGGAAUUCGUGGUGUAGCGGUGAAAUGCUUAGAUAUCACGAAGAACUCCGAUUGCGAAGGCAGCUCACUGGACUGCAACUGACACUGAGGCUCGAAAGUGUGGGUAUCAAACAGGAUUAGAUACCCGUGUAGUC